UUAAACCUCUUCCAGAGUAUCAAUUGGAGGGCAAGUCUGGUGCCAGCAGCCGCGGUAAUUCCAGCUCCAAUAGCGUAUAUUAAAAUUGUUGCAGUUAAAAAGCUCGUAGUUGAAUUUCUGCUGCAUUACAUAUCUCUUGUUUGAGUUUGUUUUUGUGGCUUAUUUCGGUUUGAUUUUUUUAUCUUUCCGGAUGAUUACUUUGAGAAAAUUAGAGUGCUCAAAGCAGGCUUUUGCCUUGAAUAGUUUAGCAUGGAAUAAUAAAGUACGACUUUGGUUCUAUUUUGUUGGUUUUAGGUACCAAAGUAAUGGUUAAUAGGAACAGUUGGGGGCAUUCGUAU
rnacentral:rRNA from 1 species